AUUGUACCACAAGGUUCCGUACCAAAAAAGGAAGGUUGGGAUUGAUUUUGGGGUUUAUGGCCCUAACUGUUAAGUUAAAAGGGUCCAAAAACAAUAUUUUUCUGUGGUUUAAUUCAAAGUCUUGAAUUCUUGGGGUUCUUUAAUAUGCUGAUUAUAGAUUUUGAAUUGGUCCAAAUUGAAGUCCAAAGGGUCCAAAAUUAAACUUUGUUUGAUUUCAUCAAAAAUUGAAUUAUGGGGGUUCUUUGAUAUGAUGAAUCUAACCGUGUAUUUAGAUAUUUAAUUGUAGGGCCCUUUUCAAAUUGGUUCAAAUAAAGGUCCAAAGAGUCCAAAAUUAUACUUUCUUUGAUUUUAAAAAAAUGAAUUCUUGAGGAUUUUUGAUAUGCUGAAUCUAUCCCGUGUAUUUAGAUUUUUGAUUUAGGGACCGGUUUUCAAAUUGGUUCACAUUGAGGUGCAAAGGGUCCAAAAUUAAAUCAAGUUUGAUUUUUAACAAAAAUUGAAUUCAAGGGGUUCUUUGAUAUGCUGAAUCUAAACAUGUAUUUAGAUUUUUGAUUUUUGGGCCCAGUAUUCAAGUUGAUAAAAAUCAGGGUCCAAAAUUAAAAUUUGGUUUGAUUUCACGCUCCGUUUUUUUUCAUCUUAAAAAAUUUACAAUUUCCAGAUUUUUUAUUCAUUUCUGUUACCAGUAACCAACUGGGAACAGAGAUUGAUUAAGGGAAGGGCAUGAAAUAUAAGGGUAAUUAGUAAAAGGUGGUGUCUAAGAACGCAAAUCGUGGUAUGUCACAAAUUUCAGUAAUUAGAAAACCGUGGAUUUUUUUAUUUAUAUAAUGACUUUGUGUCAGAAAAUUUAGACUAUAAAUAAUAUCCAAAGCGCAAGAAUAGUGGAACACAUUGGUACAAAAAAACAUGACUGGACAUCUACCUAGUACGAUGAUGCAUCAGCACAUUGAUGACUAUACAUCGGCGCAUUGCAAACAGACACUUUAUGAGUGCAAUAAUAAAAAAUAAUUUUGUGCAAAAAUUAAAAUAAAUUGUUUCGCCAAGCGCAGCUGGAUACGACCGCAGAAGUCCAACCCUGAAGAGUUGGGGCAAAAAUGGACACAAUAUUCGCGCUUGAUACAGGUCUGAAUUAGGAUUGUAAUUAAAUAUUUGACACAUAAAAGGUUUCUGACAUAGAAUAACUGUAGUCAAAGAACUUAGAAUUGAUUAUAUAAUUUGAAUUUAUAUUCAAUUUUUUGCUUUUGUGCAAUACACUUUGCUGUUGCGAAUUGACCCCCUCUCCGCCCACGAAAAAAAAAAAAUUUACCCCCCCCCCUUUUUUUUUGCUUUUGUGCAAUACACUAUGCUGUUGCGUAUUAA